CCUGCUGCAGGAACAUCUGGGUCCCAAUCAUCUACCAUUAAACACCUCCCGUCUUCACUGGAACCAGCGAUGGAUGAAAGCAGCGUUCCAACCUCAGACUUCCUCUCUGUGGAAAUGUUCCUGUCUGAUAAAGCUGUGAAGUUGUUUGCGGGGCUCGAACCACCAACUCCUGCAGAGAGGCGUCACACAAUGAAGACUCUGCUGCAAAUGUUCUGGAUUCAUUCAGCUUCACUGAAGGAAUCAGAUGGUUUUCUGCAGGGAGAGAAGCCUUCCUAAGAAAAUACACAGCAGAGCGUCUAAAG